GGCAAGGGUCAAUGUGGGAAGUUCGGUGGAAUAGCCUGAAAACAAACAUUUUCUAAAUGUGACUCAAACAGGCAGGAACAGGUUUCAUUCCGGGCUGAAGGAAAGGUUUGGUUUAAAUUCGGAGUGAUCGUAAACAUUUUCUUUUACAGGAAAGGGAAUUUCGAGCUGAAAAACUGAAACGGUUCCAGUUUCUCAGACCUUUGGUUUCUUAUAUUUUUUGUUUUUCCAAAACGAACCACGCAGCGAGACCGGCCCGAAGUCACAGAAUGUCUCUGGGUCACCCCAGCCGCAGCUUUCACCGGAGAAGGGUUUGGUUGGCUGUGUUGUUUCAGCCGUGUCGGCCCCAGGAUAUCACCGAGUGAUCGGAAAUCUUCUUUUCUUUGCUUUAGAAUUGUAAUAACAUUCGACCCCCUCGUGCUGCCCCUGGCGUCAUGGCUACCUGGAGACAAGAAGCCUGGCCUGUCUCCCCGACGUGCCCCGAGCCUCGACUUGCUGAUGCGCAUGAAGAGCUCUGGGCUCCUGGCAGGUGCAGCCCUACGAGGGGCGACGUGUUUCUAGGACGUACCCCGGGAGAUCCAGCUCUCGCUCUGUUCUCCGGGCUGAAGGCUGGAUCGGCCCCAGCUGGCCACUGCCCUGGGCUGAGGCAGCCAGGAGGUUGUGGUAACUUGGAUCUGAACUGUGUAAUGGAUAAAUGACCCUGUGCUAAUUGCCAGGAUGUUUGGGAGAAGGAGAGUUAAGCCUAUUGUUUUCUCAGGCCGAAAGGCUGCUGGAAAUGUAUAAAAACCCUGGGACACGAUCCUGCUGCAUCUCAGAUCUGCUUUGGGUUGGGAAACCUUAAGCCACAAGGAUUGAGAUCCCCAGUCACUGACUGGAGCCACCCUGAAUAUGGACAUUGGACUAUAACCUAUGGACUAUUUCUAAAGGGACUUUUGACAACUACAAGCUCGUCUCUGCUAUGUACCUGAACCUCAAGAAUUGAAUUCAAGUCUGUCUGUAGAUUGAUCUUUGAACCAACUCUCUCUCUCUUUUCUUUUUUAAUAAAUUUUAGCUUAGUUAAUAAGAA